CUAACAGUGAAGGUAUUCAGCUGAUCCGUAACACUCCUGAGCCCUCACUAACAGGACUAGGAACCACAGUGUUGCUAUCUUGUGCCAUCUCCAUUGCUCAGAUUGCAGUUGGUAAUGUGUGGAUCUACUCUAUUUACCCGCCCAACUACAACAAGAACAGCACAACAAUAAAUGUGGAUCCUUACUGUGACAAGACGCUCUACUUGUUUGCCUUCUGGAUAACCACAGCGGGCUACAUCUUACUAGGUUUAGCUCUG